UUGUUUUGCUACAUUGUUAGUAUAAGAUGGGAACAAAUACAAACACUAAAAUUUCUUCAGCAAACAAUUAUGAUAACCCUUCAAUACAACGAACUCCAGUCAGAUCAAACUAGUGAAAAUCUAUCAAAGUUCUCAAUACUAGUGCGUCAAUAAUCAAAUUAACCAUAUUGCAUUACAAUUUCUUUCCUGAUUUCUUUCUGUAAUAUAAUCCCUUUUUCAAUACAAUGCGUUGUUUUCCCCUUUGGUGAAUAACAAUGACAACAUAAUGUGAUCCAAUCAGAUCGAUCUUAGCUUAAUUGAUUUGAAUGUGUUUGGUGCGUGAAAU
rnacentral:lncRNA from 1 species